AGUCGCAUGGACGUGUGCGUGUGCGUGCCCCUCUGCCGUUUUCCCGUUGUGUCUCCGUGCCGCUGCCCUGCUCCUCGUCUUCCCCGCCCCCUCCAUGCGCGUGUGCGUGUGCGGGCGAGGCGGCUGAUCGAGGGGACGACGAGGUGGAGAGCAGCCACGGCACCGCAGCGCUGGGGAUACAUGGGCAGUGUGCAGGAGCAGCGGAGGAGAGGCACGCACACGCACUCUGGCAAGGGAGUAGUGGUGCGGAGGCCGCAGGGGAAUACGCAGCGGAGCGAGUGGGUACGGAGGCGGAGCGGAGGAGAGGCAGCGCUGCUUCUCUGUUCGCCCCGCUUGCGUUGGACUCGAGUGUGUCUGCGUGUGCGCCCCUGCGGCCCUCGGCCCCCUCGCCUCUCUUGCGCGCUUCGCGUCGCUUGUUUCGUUGCUGUGGCUGUCUAACUACGCCAUCGAGUCGGCCAGAGUCGCGUGCGCGGAGUAUUCACACCACAUUACGGCAUGCGGCAUGCACCUACACCAGCCCCUGCGGCCUGCACGGCAGACGCCGCCGCCUCCGCCCUCGAGCAGGACCCUGCACCGGGGUCCGUGUGGCGCCGGUCGCGCUGCACGCGUGCGAGGGCGAUACGCGGAGGGACAAGGCGAGCCCGCUAGCAGCAUGGGCCGACUCGACGGCUGAACGGCUCGUCGUGGACGGCGCGGAUGUGGCCGCCGUGCGGCAGGGGUGGGUGGGCUGCGGCUGUAUGCGCGCACGUGUGGACUCGGUCGUGAUGGAGUGAGACGUUGAUAAGGAAGUGCUCUGCUUUCCCUGGCAAGCACGCGAAGGAGGAGGUAACCACGGCAACCACAAAACGACACGUAUAUACAUACAUACAUACAUAUAUAUCAUCAUCCAUGUCGGCGUGCGCCAACAGACCAUCAAAACUCCCCGGACUUUGUUUUCCCCGGCGACCGCCGCCCCCGUGUGCUCGCCCGAGCGGACGGAGCGCGUGCGCCCUUUUCUCCUCGUGCUUCUCCAUUGCUUGCUUUUUGCUUGCUGUCUCUUUUGUUGUUGUCUCCGUUCCUCGACUGACUCACCCC
rnacentral:misc_RNA from 1 species